UCUUAACAUGUGAGCCAUUACUUAAA
rnacentral:piRNA from 1 species